UCUGGUUCAGGACGAACGCUGGCGGCGUGCUUAACACAUGCAAGUUGAACGGUAUGACAUGGAAGCUUGCUGAAGUGUCAUAUAGUAGCGGACGGGUGAGUAAUGCAUGAGAAGCUGCCAUUGGGAGGGGGACAACAGUUGGAAACGGCUGCUAAUACCCCGUAUGCCGGAGGGUGAAAGGGAGUAAUCCGCCCGAUGAGGUGCUCAUGUCCUAUCAGCUGGUUGGUGGGGUAACGGCCUACCAAGGCGACGACGGGUAGCCGGCCUGAGAGGGUGAACGGCCACACUGGAACUGAGAUACGGUCCAGACUCCUACGGGAGGCAGCAGUGGGGAAUAUUGGGCAAAUGGGGGCAACCCUGACCCAGCGACGCCGCGUGGGGGAAGACGGCCUUCGGGUUGUAAACCUCUUUUGUACGGGAAGAAGGAAGUGACGGUACUGUACGAAUAAGUCCCGGCUAACUACGUGCCAGCAGCUGC
rnacentral:rRNA from 1 species